rnacentral:lncRNA from 1 species
UUAUAUAUGUGAUUUUUUGAAAUAAUGAACUUUAUUUAUUUGAUUUUAAUUUUUGUAUAUACUUGAUUAAUUUGAAUAAAUUUAGAUUAGAUGUUGAUAAAUUGAAAUUUAUUCCGGAUAUUUAUAUAUGUUUUCCUAUAAGAAAUUCUUAAAAAAUGAAAAAUAUGGACUGGCCGACAAGGAAAAACCUGUCACGAAGGACACACAAGAAUCCUGAAUCCAAUUACUAAUUAUGUGUCAACCUUCCCGAUGCAUUUUCUGCAACAAUUCAUCACAUGCUGUGAGUUGAUCCCUUCUACCUUUCCCUUCUCGGGGUGCUAAAACACCCAUUCUUAUCCAUCUACUAUCUUCUUUCUACAAAUAGCAAACAUAAAGGUUAAAGGGAAAUUACCCAUGUUGUACUAAUUUAGAAGGAAAUUAAGCAUAUAUCUAGAUAGAGAACAUGUUGAUGGGGAUAAGCUUGCAAUGCAUGAUGGACUUGAUGGUAGCUGGUUUUUCCCUAAUGAUUGGAUUAGGGAUUUUUGCUUUCAUUGCUUCAAUUCUCUGCUCUGCUGCUUUUUACCAGAACGCUAAGCAACUUUCUUGAAUCUACACCGCCUUAUGGAUUUAUUAGGUAUCAAUAUUUGUGCUUUUUUCUUGCUUUAUAUUUUGGGUAUUUGAAAAUUUGUAUCUUUUUCUUGGAGAAUUAAGAGUAUUUAAUAUAGUAAAUUGAGCUCCCAAAUUUGGUCAAAUAGAGUAUGAUCAGCCCAAUUAAGAAUGGGUUUGCAUUAAUUAGUGGGAUUAUUUGUACAAAUAUUUAUUGAGGAUUCAUAUAGUCAAUAGUUUGGUAUUGAGACUUUAGUGGAAUGGUUGGUGAAGAAUAUCUGACCCCAAGUAAUAAAAUUGUUGAGGUUCUCUUCUUUUGCAUCUUUUUGCAAUGCAUAUCUUUGGUUUCAAUUCAAGUACGCUAUAAAAAGGUAAUUAGUUCUAUUCUAAUUAUUGUCUCUAGUUUCUUCAAUUUGGGGUCUAGAUCACUAUUCUAAGUUGUUGAAUUGCUAAGGUCAUGUAAAUUGCUUAUAGACCGAAAUUGAAUCAGGAUUAUGCAAGGUCAAUGUUAAAUUCUGUUUUUUUCUUCUCUGUAUAUAUAUAUAUAUAUAUAUAUAUUGCGACAUUCACCUGGGAGAGACAGGCAAGGAUGUGAUAUUGAUAAAGAACUUGUUGAGUUCUGAUGAAUGACCGAAGAUUAGUAUGUAAAUGGUCAAGAGAACAACAAUUUGCUGAACUAGGAACUCUGGUUUUGUUAUAUACCUCUCCUUGGUAGUGUUUUUCAACCAUGCAACGCCUUUGUGAGCUUGUUCAAGAUAUAUUGGACAGAUUUUGCUUUCAAUCUCCAUGGAGAUGUCUAGAUUCUUCUCUAAACUGAUGGAAACUUAGGUUUAGACAAAAUUGUAAGUGAUUGUUUCUUCCUUGAUUGUGAGCUUUCUCUUUAAGAUGCUACAGUUUUAUGUGCAUAAGAUAUGCUUUGGAAGCACGGAGCUCCAUCUAGUUUUACAGCUUACAGUGUAAUACGAGGUUCGUGAAAGAAUAUACUAUAUCUGUCACCUGAAGUGCAUAGCCUUCGCACUGCCCUUAGCAUUAUGCAGCCUUUUAUAUGGUGUAAGGCUUGAGACGGACGGAACUAUUAAACUAAGGUGGCCAGUGUUCUUGAUCAGACUAAGACAAGUUGGUAGUCCCUUCUCUGUCUUCAAUUUUGGACUGCAAUAUAGUCUAUAGAUGCUAAUGAUGUAAACAAUAACAACGUGAGGACUUAUAUCAGGUAGAUAAGUUCCCUCCACCGUAAUGCAGGUUUCUAAAAUUUCACAGGGCAUGGAUAUUAAGACGGAAUUUUAGUUGUUUUGUACCGAGCGGAUCGAUAAUAUGCGUCAUAUUAUGAUUUGAUAAAUAGAACUUGAAAUUGUAUAGAAGUGAAUCUUAUAGUACCUUUAUAUUCUUAUGUAAUUGGAUGGUUUUGUUUAGAAUGAGAAAACCUUUCUUUCCAGAAGUGAACAGUAUUUUGAACUGAAAAAUGGAGUAAUAGGACAAUUAUUCAGGAUUUAUAUGCCUAAUGAAAGAUCAUUACCAAUAGGAGAAUUUGUAGUAAGUUGGUGGUUUCGCUGAAACUGUAAAUUAAAAUAUGUGUCCUCCAUUUAGAACUAGACGUCCCUUCCCCACCCUCACCCACCUCUACAAUAGAACAAGUAGUAAAACUCUCCAAAGACAGAGGAGUUCGGUCCCCAGGGCUUGAUUUAGUAACAAGGCCCUAACUUGUGCUAUGUGGAUUAGGGCAGACGGGUCUAACCCCUGUGGCAAAUAAAAGCCGAGUGUUUGAGUGGAGAAGAAUAGAGGGACAGCCUUAUUGUCUACCGAGUCUCGAUUAUGCACCACUAGCCCUUGGGAAAUUAGUUAGUAACAUCUCCUCAUGGUUGCUUCUGGCUGAAAUAAAACGAGAACAGGUACAAUUUUUUCCAACCUUUUUUUCUUUAGCUUGUCAUGAAAUAAUGAAAGAGCUUAGCUUAGAGUACUACUCUAGCCGUGCAUCUGUGAAUAAACAAUGAACCAUAGUUUCACUAAUUUACUGAUACUACUGCUAUUAUACUAUCCCAAUGAGGAGGUGUGAGGUUGACAAUAGUGGGUCUAAGUAGAGGUAGAGGUAAGUUGAAGAAGUAUCGAGGAGAGAUGAUUAGACAAGAUAUGAUACAUAAUUAGUUUACUGAGGACAUGACCUUAGAUAAGAAUACGGAGGUCGAGGAUUAGGGAGAAAGUUAGUAUGUAAUUGAGUUUGGGGCUUGUUUUUGUUCCUUAUUUUCCGUAUCAUCAUUAUUAUUAUUAUUAUUAUUAUUAUUAUUAUUAUUAUUAUUAUUAUCGUCAUUCUCGUAUUAUCUUUUCCCUCAAUCUCUAUUACUACUUGAUGCUUUUUUGCUUCGGUUAUCCUUCUGCUUUGUUAUUUCGAUGUUUUUACUGUUCUUAUCUGCAUUAUUCUCAACUCUUCACUAUUGUUUUCCUUUUCAAACCUGCUUUGAAAUGCUUUUUUUAAGUCGAAGGUCUAUCGGAAACAAUCCUUCUACUUCUACAAGGUAAGGGCAAGGUCUACGAAUACUGUAUACACUACAUUCCCCGGACCCAACCUGUGGGAAUACACAUGUUUGUUGCUAUUAUCUCUACGUGCAUAUGUACUUGCCUUUGAGCCUACUCCUUCGAAGUUUGAUGGUGUUUUACUUCCUAAUGUUAUCCCUUCCUAACUCACAGACUCACUGAUUCAUGGCUGCAUAUGCAGGUAAGAUAUAUAACACUACAGACGUUAUUUAAAUCCAAAAACAAAAACAAAGAAAGAUGACAGACAAAAAUUCAAGAAUAAAAGGGGUUUCUCCACUGUCCGUUUUACUUAAUCAGGCACUGUUGUUGCUUGUAUGCCAGGAGCUGCUGGAGAGAUGAACUAACUGAUUAGCAGGAACAGUUAUGCUGUUUGUAACAGAUAGAGAGAAGUAUUUCCUCUUAGAGAAAAGGCAUUUGUAUGCAAUAGUAGAAUGAAUAUGCAUUUUUGAAGCGGCUAUUUUCUUCUUCUUUUUUAAUAUUUUCUUGUGUUCUAGAAACUUCUUUAUUGCUUCUUCAAAAUAGCAGCAUGCCUUUGAAGUUCACAUUGAAAUAUGCCCGAUGGGUUUGCUUUUACAUUCUCUGUUUACUAAGAGUUUCUCUGUCCACACUAAAUAUUUUAUCAAUUACAAAGUAGCGAAUUGGUAGGUUGAUUAGUUUGAACCGAGACUCUAAUCGUUGAAGUAGUCCUUUGAUCAAUGAUUUUAGUAGCUUAUUCUGAAAAUAAAAUAAAAUGUUAAUUAUCGCCAAACAAGGAAAUUCCAGGAACAAUUAUUCUUAUUACAGAAGCAUUUUCCUCGGCUUGUUCUGAUACCGACUUCUUUAUACGAGACAAAGAGGUGUACUAUAAAGCAGAGGCAAGGUUUUCAGUUAACGAUCUUGGGUUAGC